UACGUAGGGGGCAAGCGUUGUCCGGAUUCAUUGGGCGUAAAGAGCGUGUAGGCGGCCAGGUAGGUCGGUUGUGAAAACUGGAGGCUCAACCUUCAGACGUCGACCGAAACCAUCUGGCUAGAGUCCGGAAGAGGAAAGUGGAAUUCCUGGUGUAGCGGUGAAAUGCGCAGAUAUCAGGAAGAACACCAAUGGCGAAAGCAGCUUUCUGGGACGGUACUGACGCUGAGACGCGAAAGCGUGGGGAGCGAACAGG
rnacentral:rRNA from 1 species